AUGAAGCGCAAGACCAUGAGAGAAGCGAACGACUGAAGCUCAGUUCUUCUACGCCGCUGGACGAUUCCUUCAUUUGACUGUUGUGGAAAGAAUACGGCAAAUCCCCCGGCUAUCAAAAGAAGGUCUGAAUCUGUCCUGGCUGUGACACAUAUGGCUUGAGAAUUUGGGUGGCCUAGGGGUUGGUUGUUAUCUUUGGUUAUCUAGCUGUAUGAGUGGUGUACAUUCUUCAUAAAGCUAGAUAACCGAAAGUAACAAGAAUCCCAUUACACUCCUGAAAGGCAACAAGACUUCCUUCAUCCCUGGGAAUGCAAAAAAGAAGAGAAAAGAAUGCAAUAGUAGAAACCAAAUCCAACAAAGAAGCAAACGGAAGAGAGCAGAGCGAAAGUAAAACAGAAAGGAAAUGAGCGCGCACGGUUCCCAGGAAGCGCAGGGAGACCGUGAAACAGAGGAGGAGGGGCUGCGAUUUUUACACCGGCUUUGCGCGGCCACGUCUGUCGACGCGUUUGCCUCUUCCCCUCCCUUCCCGGCUGCCUGCCUGUACGGGGGGAUGCCGCCCUCGCCACCAUCUUAGGAUAAGGCUGGCAUGAAAUGGCAGUGGGACCCCAAGCAGGUGAAAGAUGACUGGCAAAGGAUUGGCUCAUAAUGCUGAUAAUUGUGAGAGGACAGGUAGACACUGAUGUCAUGCUGCCAGAGGACUUUCAUAAUUGCCUGCGUGAGCAGUGUUGGUUUUCACAAUUGCUCAAAAAGAUCUCAGACCCAGAAUGAGGCUCCCUUGUUUCGUAUUUAACUGUCACGCAGUCUUGUGCACCUGCAUUUGAAUGUGGAAGAACUUCAUCGACUUAACAUGUGGGACAAUUGUAGUUUUGUUUUGAGGAAAUAUCUUCAAGGGAUAUCUGUCCAUCGCCACAGGAUGUAGGAGCUACUGUUCAUAAUAUAUGCUGGAAAAGGACUUGUAGUGCAGGUGGAUCUACGUGGAGACUGCCGCUGACUGGACCAUUAAGGUCUCAAUUCCAAGUCCUCAAUUCAUCAAGGUAUCAAACUUGUAAAAAAAAAAAAAAAAAAACAUCAAGUUUUCAGGCUAAUAAAACAUAACUUGAAGGUUCCACUGGAAGAACACAACGUUUUGAUGAAUAGCAAACAAAACUAGUCAUAGAGUCUAGUACCCAUAAACUGACAGUAUGAUCCAUCAUGGAGGACUUAACAUAAGUAUAAUUAUUCAUCUGAAUGGAACCUCGCCAUUGUCUUUGAAGCUUUUUCUAAGUUACAGCUAAUUACUUCAUUGUACCUAAAUAUUUUCAGUCAAAACGAGACCGAAUGUAUGAGAUGUAGAACGCAUGCUAGGGAACUGUUCUGUAUUUUGCUAGGAGAACAGGAUCAGCUAAAACGCUGUUGUGAAAGUGAUUGCUGCAGUUAAAAGCAUGUUCAGUUGUAACUGUCAUGCUCCUUGUCCAGCAUAAGCCAGAUGCCGUAAUGAAACAUGAAAUAUGAGACAAUUCUUCAUGGGAGCCAACAGUCUGCACUAAAUCUUUGCACAAUUAUACUGUACAGAAUAGACAACUCAAGGAGCUGUUCCUUAUUCAAUCUGUGCCUGGAAUACUGAGAGCACCAUGAGAUCCUUGAAUCUUUCCCUUUUUCAGUGGUGUUUGCAGCUUAUUCUGUAUUUAGGACCCUUUAUUACUUUGUCGUGAGAGCCGCAUAAUAAUCUAAGAUAUGCAAGUGUGAAACUCACAAUACCAGUGAAGGAAACUGCACUGCGAUAGAGCAGCUCACUGUGUUCAGUGAUACACAGCUGAAGGAAUGAGCUGCUAUCUUUACUCUCUAUGCAACUGCGUGAGGCCGGCAAUCAACUGAAACUGGGGAGGGAAUCGCGAGCAACAAUCACGGGUAGUAACUCGCAGCAGUGGGAAAAGUAGGGGCUUUUGGUGCCGCCACGUUUAAAGAUAAUUGUAGAAGUCAGAAGAAAUAAACAUGAUGACUGGCAUUCAGACUCGCCACUGUAAAGUCCAGUAGAGAUUUGCAGUGUACUUUUCACAUUAAUGCAAUCCAUGCACAUGAAAACAUAGAGAAGCGGUCAUUAUGAAUUCCAGUUUUGUGACCAUACUGCUUCUAAUUUGCUAAUAGGUAUGUGGCCAAAAAUGUGCAGCUUCAGAAGCCCCUAAAUAGAGUUUAACCUGAAUGACAAGAAAUUAUAUCUCACACUGUAUACACAGUGAAUAGCUUCACUGGCACUAGGAAAGCAGAUGUCAAAUCACAUCAGAUUUCAUAGUGUUAGCGACCAAGGAUCUGAAAGCUCUGGCUGAGUCACUCUAAGCUUUCUACUUGAGCUGAAACCAGCUUCUGUCAUGACACCAGUUGUAACACUUAGAUCUGCAUUCCAGUGAAGUCCGUUUUAAUAACUAUAUCCCUUCAAAUUAGAAACCCAGUGCACUUACGGUGAGUGAAUAUUUUUAUUCACUGGAAAUUUUACAAACUAUUUAUAUACAUAAAUAUAUUGCAAUCAUUAAACUAUAAUUUGCAAUUAUAAUAUUUUAUGGACCCUGUGCAAUACAUAUUCCCUCAAUAUAUACUAUUCUUGUAGUUUACUUUCUAAUAACUUUACAUAGAUAAAAUUAUAUACAUAAAAUUAUCAAUGCUUUUGAUAAUCCGUGAUUUGUGCACAAAUCUGUUUUUAAAACCAUUGUGUUCAGCAUAUAUCUGCAUACCCGUUAACUGAAACGAUUGGGAUUCCUACGGAUUAUACGAAUCUUAUCAGAUAGAUUGUGGAGACCCUGUCAAUUUACAGCACAAAUCAGUUCAGUUGGUUGCAGCUUUUGUUUACAAAUUUUUCUCUUUGCACUUAGAAAUGCCUUUGUAAAUUGUUGAGUGUUCCGUUUACUGAUGCAUGUGCAUUGUUUGUCUAUAAAUGACUUUUGUUUGCUGGAUCUGCACUGUAUGAACCCACCCUGUAGACCCCCCGUGUGUGACUGUACAUGGGCUGUACUGAACACAGUUAAUAAAAGUUUACAUUGAAACAAACA